UUGAGACUGGAGACAGACGGGAACAGCCACAGGCAGACUGAGGUGGCAAUAGGAAAUCUGCCGAGAUGUUCAGUCAGGUGCCCAGGACCCCAGCCUCAGGCUGCUACUACCUAAAUUCCAUGACACCUGAGGGCCAGGAGAUGUACUUGCGAUUUGAUCAGACUACAAGACGCUCUCCUUACAGGAUGAGCCGGAUUCUAGCACGCCAUCAGCUAGUGACUAAAAUUCAACAAGAAAUUGAGGCAAAAGAAGCAUGUGACUGGCUCCGUGCUGCCGGGUUCCCGCAAUACGCUCAGUUAUAUGAGGAUUCACAAUUUCCCAUCAACAUUGUGGCUGUCAAGAAUGAUCAUGAUUUUCUUGAAAAGGACCUUGUAGAACCUCUUUGCAGGUACUCAGGAUGACUUUUAUAUGCCUAAGCUUUCAGGAAGAAUGUGUAAGAAGAUACAAAAUCAGGGAGGAGAUUGAGGGGAAGAGAGAGACUUUAUAUUCUUGUUAUUCACUUCUCUAUGUAUAUUUCAGGUGUUUGUAUUGCAUUAUUAAAAACAUUAGCAAUGUUUUAAAAAA
rnacentral:sRNA from 1 species